CGCCCACCGCGCGGAGGACAACUUUUAGCCGGCAGCCCAGACCAGCGCGGCACCUGUCUCCGGAGUCUCCACCGCUCCUCCCGAUUCAUCCCAGGGAAAUUCUCAAGAAUACGCUCUACAAAUCUACGUGCGCAUCAUUUUCACCUCGCGUCGCGCCCGGGAGGAAGGAACGAGGCAAGGAGCUAAAGCAGCGUGCGUUCAGCCCUGGGGCAUUUUAUUAAUGCUUUUACGAGUUAGAAGAGUUGGGAUAAUUUGCCAUCUGGAGUUUCUCUGCCUUGCUGAUCUGAGCUCAGACCUGCCAAUUUACCAGAGAUAAUUGAUAACACCCUGUAACAGCUGAGAGGAAAAUGGAAGAAACGGAGAUACUUUUAGUGAAGCAGAAUAAACCACUGAACAGGAAAAAUGAGGAAGCUGUGAGUACCAGUGGAAGGAACGAGCCAGGAAGAGGGACUGGAACCAUCUCAGAAGCCAUGCCCCUCAGGCUGGAACUUGCCCUGUCUCCUCGCAGAUGAGCUACCUCUUGUGUUUAAGAAUUAAAGGAAGAUGAGCUAGGAAUCAAGAAAUACGCAGAACUGAUUCCUGUCACUGGCGCCACCCUGCCACUUGCCCAGAGCUGUGGUAUAAAUUUUUUUAAUAGGCUGAAAUAAAAAUAUGAAUAGCAUUUUGGUAUUAAGCAUUAAAUUGAUAAAGGCUAUGAGAUACACCUGCUCUCAACCAUGUUAAUUUUUUAUUAUUGGUAUUAAUAAAUUAUUACUUACUAACAUAUUAACAAGAAUUGCAUUGAGAAACAAAGCAUCCACAGGCCAAAUCUUCUGAAUUUCAAAUGUUUAUAUUAAUGCGUUGUAUUCUAGAAAAGUAGAAUUGUCUUAAGUAGCUUUGUAAUAUAAAGUCAUCUAUCAGCCCAUUACACCUAUUAGAAUGUUUUAACCUUUAUUUCCCACUUUUUUGUUUCUAGACUGAGUGUACUUGGUCUGGUAUUUGUGGCAUAACUUACGGAACACAUAAGAAUGAUACAGAUACUAUUUAAUGAUGACCUAAUACAAGCUUAGAUAGCUAAGGUGAAAGCUUCUAUGGCCUUAACAUUUUCCUCUUGAAGAAUGUAUUUUCUGUAAUAAAAUACAGUGGCUACUUGAAAUCUAUAAACUUAUGUGAGGUCUGGAUAAAUCUGAGCAACUUUCUUCUUUGUGCUCCAGGAACCUACGCACUAUAUAUAUAAAUAAAGCUUAAGUAAACAU
rnacentral:lncRNA from 1 species